rnacentral:sRNA from 1 species
CAUAAAUUUUAUAUAAAUCACACACACAUCGUCACAUUUGUCGGGGUGCUUUUAUUUUGUUUGUUGAUUGCUUGCUUUCGCUCGCUUUUAGUUAGAAAUAAAGGUCGAAAAAAUGGGAUGUGUGGAGGCCUAAC